AAAUCUUAUUAAAAUUAAACUGCAAAUUUAAAAUUGAUAAAACUUAUCUAAGAUUUU
rnacentral:tRNA from 1 species